rnacentral:lncRNA from 1 species
UCUCUUUCAACUUGGAAAUAACAACUUCGUCUUCAGGUUGAACCUCAGGAUUGGAGUUGUGGCUCAUCUUUAGCUUGACACUGCCUCCAGCAAGCGCAGGGUCAACAGCAAAGCGUACCACAGCUAGGGUAAUACCAGGGUGCUCAGCCAUGCGCAUACCAUAAGCAAGUGCUUCACGGUCAUCAUGGCCUCCGAAGAACAGGAUAGUUAUUGUAAAGUCAACAUUGCUAGCUGGUACAUGAGAUGCUCCACCAAGACCUCUGUCUACUAAUAUGCCAACGGAACAUGGUGCUUGCUGCAGAACUUUGCGGUUCACAUGCCUUAGAUCAGUUCUGGUGGUUUCAAAGUGUCCAUCGAGUCUCUGGUGCUUGUGGAAUGGGAGGAUUAUCAUGGCAACCCUCUUGUUCUCAGCACUUGUGAUGAUGUCCUCGUGCAUGCUGUUCAUGGGAGAGAUUGCUGUGGUUGGUCGAAUGGAUACUUUGCUAAGGUGCUCAAAUGUCUCGAAAGCAACCACUACUUGGUUAGAAUCAGAAACCUCCCCUUUAUUCCAGAAGGGCAGACCGUUCCUUUUAACCUUGUGGACCAUCAAGAUUGCUGAUGACCUUUCAGAAAGCUCCAUAAGAUGCAUGGCAUACA